AAAUUGAAGAGUUUGAUCAUGGCUCAGAUUGAACGCUGGCGGCAGGCCUAACACAUGCAAGUCGAACGGUAACAGGAAGCAGCUUGCUGCUUUGCUGACGAGUGGCGGACGGGUAGU
rnacentral:rRNA from 1 species